CUGGCCGCUCGCUUCCGAGUUGCCGCUCAGUCUGAAAAGUUCAUGUGACGCGUCGAGAACGUUGCGAUUCGAGUCCGCUGCCCGACUUCUGAUUGCCGAGGCAACAGCGACGGAAUUCCGCAUCUGGCAUCUGCAUCUGCAUCGGCACUCUCGCCACUCGCAGCUCGCAUCUGCUGCACCUGCUCCGCCGCACAGGUGGAUCGCCCAGCGCUAAAUCUUUCGGGUUUUCGCGUGCCUUGUUGUGGUGCCUUUUGUUUGGUGGCCCCCUUGUCGGAAAAGUCGGAAAAGUGUUUGCAGACACAGCAUUUAAUAAUGUAAGACUGCCCUAAGACCUGCCGUUCUGUAAUUACACGCGAGUUGCGGAGCAACCGAGGCAGCCACGCCACUCGACAGCGCCAGGACGCCAAGGAAAGGA